CUUUGAUGACGAUAUAAACAUCAUAUUUUGGGACACUUCUUAUUCAAUAUACAGAGAUUUAUUUAUUGAGACUUGGUCUGCAUUUACUUCUAAUCCACUGAUGAAAUUGGCAGACUUUGCCGGGAAAAGAGUCUGUUUUAAGGAUUUGAUGUUCCCCCUACUGGCUAGAAUGAGAGGUGGCCUGUAUUAUAAUACUUACAUUGUUCCUGGAUGCUAUAGAUCAGGUCUCAUGCAAGCUUUCUCAAAACAUUUAAUUAAGAGACUAAACAUAACACAAGAAAUACCAGAGGUAAAAGUAAACAAAAAUAAACAAUAAAAAU